GGGCUGGGGCUCAGUGGCAGAGCACUUGCCUAGUAUGUGUGUGAGGCCCUGGGUUCCAUCCCCAGCACCACG
rnacentral:tRNA from 1 species